rnacentral:rRNA from 1 species
CACUAACGUAUUUUGUAGUAUUAUCUUAGUUUAUUAACUAAAAUGGUUUGGCAGUGAGUGAUUCUUUUUAGGGGAAGGUGUGGUGUAAAGGAUGUUCCGCCUAUUAAUUUACUUUUAUUAUGUUGGUGUAUAUCUGGUUUAAUAUUAUUGUUGAAUAAUAUAAGUUUGUGUAAUUUUAUUAGUUAAGCCAAGUCUAUGUGCUGCUUAUAGAAGUAUUCAUGCGUUACUUUAAUAAAGUUUUAGUUGUAAGUACUAUCAUAUUCAGGACUUAAAAGUAAUGUUAAAUUAGUUUGUUAAUGUGAAAUAAGUUUAGCUCA